UGGGGAAUCUUGCACAAUGGGCGAAAGCCUGAUGCAGCGACGCCGCGUGGGGGAUGAAGCUUUUCGGAGUGUAAACCCCUUUCGACCCGGACGCGGUACGGGUAUAAGAAGCCCCGGCUAACUACGUGCCAGCAGCCACGGUAAAACCGGUUACUCCUACGG
rnacentral:rRNA from 1 species